UACGAAGGGGGCUAGCGUUGUUCGGAAUUACUGGGCGUAAAGCGCGCGCAGGCGGUCUUCCAAGUCAGUGGUGAAAGCCCGGAGCUCAACUCCGGAACUGCCAUUGAAACUGUAAGACUUGAGGAUGAGAGAGGUGAGUGGAAUUCCCAGUGUAGAGGUGAAAUUCGUAGAUAUUCGGAAGAACACCAGUGGCGAAGGCGACUCGCUGGACAAGUAUUGACGCUGAGGUGCGAAAGCGUGGGGAGCAAACAGG
rnacentral:rRNA from 1 species